CACAUUGUGCUGAUUUGGUGGAAGCCCAUCUUUAUGAUUUAGGAUUAGGUUUAGGGCUUGGACUGCAGCCCAGGCCUUCUCGGGUUUCGCAGCCUGUCAUAACCACAACCGCACCAUCACCGUCACCGAACUGGCGGAGGCACAUCUUCCACCACGUGAACUACGCCUUCGGGUUCCACAACUUGCCGGACACGAAGCGCUAGUUUCGAUGCGCAGCAAGUGUGAGAGAGGAUUCCGCGAGAACCCUAGCUGCCCAAAAGAUCCGGAAAUGGCUUUGCAGGCCAGUUGAUUUGUGGCCCCUCUGCCUUUUAAAUGCUGCUAUUGCCUCUGUUCCUACUUUUCCCUCGCAGGGCGACGAGGAAUAGCGGGAGGGUGGGGCACGGCGAAGCUUAUUCUUUACGUUGUUCCUAGUGUGUCCUUUCCACAGGGAUGUCUGGCCGAAUCGACAGUAUUCGAGAAAACCGCAGCGCCACUCUUCUCAGCUAUGGCCUCCCUCUCUUCCCCCCUCCUCCUCAGGCCUUGAUGAUUGCAUGUGUGCUUCUGAUCGAUUUCAAAGAAGGUCACUUUUUGUCUGCGGUGAGAGGAACGGGCUUCGUCGCUUCUGGUUUUAGUAUCGAGCGCAUGGGGUUUGGCCAGUUGUAAAAUGCGGUAUUACGUUUAGGAUACACUUUCCGCUUGUUGCUGUCCCAACAGGAGUCACACACAAGCACAAGUUCAGCAUAAUUCUACUAUUUGUUGUGGAUAUCACAGGCUUCAACUUUUUUAUGUAGUAACGACUCUUCGCAGCCUAUGUACACCGGACUAUACAGUUCAAGUGGCCAACAUUCCCCGUAACUCAGUAAAAUUAUCGAAGGUUUUAGCAGAGAUUAAUCACUUUCAGGUCUCAAUGUGAGUCAAGUUUUAAAAUCACCUUUUCCACUUUGAAAGUUGAGUGGCUUUCAUUGUGACAAUUUAUCAAUCUUCAAAAUUACGAUCAAGGAUAGAGAAAGCUGUUAAAUUGACCAAUCCUCGAAGUAGACUUUAAAAAGAGCCCUUUUGAAGGAACACUUGUACAAACAUCAGCUAGAGUCUUCUGGUCCGAUAGCCAGUUUCAGCUUCAAAUUCAUCUGCACUAUAUUUUCUGUUAUGUAUAUUAACAUGGCGAAACAUCACUAGCAUAUGCUGUUAGGGAAAACAAUCGCACAAGUGGCAAGAAGAAUGGCCCUUUGCGAUUGCUUAACAUUUGGAAGUACCAA